rnacentral:rRNA from 1 species
GAUGAACGCUGGCGGCGUGCCUAAUACAUGCAAGUCGAGCGAACAGACGAGGAGCUUGCUCCUCUGACGUUAGCGGCGGAAGGGUGAGUAACACGUGGAUAAACUACCUAUAAGACUGGGAUAACUUCGGGAAACCGGAGCUAAAACCGGAUAAUAUAUUGAACCGCAAGGUUCAAUAGUGAAAGACGGUUUUGCUGUCACUUAUAGAUGGACCCGCGCCGCAUUAGCUAGUUGGUAAGGUAACGGCUUACCAAGGCAACGAUGCGUAGCCGACCUGAGAGGGUGAUCGGCCACACUGGAACUGAGACACGGUCCAGACUCCUACGGGAGGCAGCAGUAGGGAAUCUUGCGCAAUGGGCGAAAGCCUGACGGAGCAACGCCGCGUGAGUGAUGAAGGUCUUCGGAUCGUAAAACUCUGUUAUUAGGGAAGAACAAAUGUGUAAGUAACUAUGCUCGUCUUGACGGUACCUACUCAGAAAGCCACGGCUAACUACGUG